AUUAGCAUGGAAUAAUAGAAUAGGACGUGCGGUUCUAUUUUGUUGGUUUCUAGGACCGCCGUAAUGAUUAAUAGGGAUAGUCGGGGGCAUCCGUAUUCAAUUGUCAGAGGUGAAAUUCUUGGAUUUAUUGAAGACGAACUACUGCGAAAGCAUUUGCCAAGGAUGUUUUCAUUAAUCAGGAACGAAAGUUGAGGGAUCGAAGACGAUCAGAUACCGUCGUAGUCUCAACCAUAAACUAUGCCGACUAGGGAUCGGGCGAUGUUCUUUUUUUGACUCGCUCGGAACCUUACGAGAAAUCAAAGUCUUUGGGUUCUGGGGGGAGUAUGGCCGCAAGGCUGAAACUUACAGGAAUUGACGGAAGGGCACCACCAGGAGUGGAGCCUGCGGCUUAAUUUGACUCAACACGGGGAAACUCACCAGGUCCAGAAAU
rnacentral:rRNA from 1 species